rnacentral:lncRNA from 1 species
UGUGCGUAAGAAUAGGUUCUCCAAGUCCAGAAGCAACAUGACUUAUUCCUAAUCUUGAGUAGCAACAAUCCGAACUUCGUCUCAGUAAACACUUUAAGUCGUAUAAAUGCAAGAGAAACCGCCACGUCUCGAGAAGAUUAUGAAACAUAACCAACCAUGGCUGCUCACCACAUCACUAGCCAAAGCCAUAUCAGACUAGACGAUCCUAAUCAAGGUAGCAUUAAAAAAGGUACUACCGCCACUUCAGCCUUUGUCAUUAAGCUGAACAUACAACCCAAGUUCGAUUUUGAAGGAGCCUUCUGGGGUCCAUGGCAGUACAAAAAGUAAGCAAUCAUCAAUGUGCCACACUCCACGCUGAAUAACCCAUUGACGGGUAGGUUGGUGUGGGAUAUGUAGUUCAGAUAAGAGAACUUCAAUCUCUAUGGUACGUUUCUCAGGCCCAUGGGCACCAUAAUCUUCAGUUGGUAGGGAAGCUUUUUCAUUAACAUGUAGAUCAUUUUUCUGGAUAGUUGGUGUAGAGUAUUCAACAUUAUCCUUUUGCUGCAUAACAGUAUCAAUGUUCACUAUAGGAACAUCAGAGCUAGUGUCUUGCGAGGUUGAUGCGGAGAUAGAAACCUGAGCAGUCGAAGAAGGUAACAGACACCUCUUUUCUUUGUGUCCUAGAUUACCACACCUCUCACACAUAGAUGGAAUCCAUGUAUACUCAACAUUAACAAGAAAGAUGUUACCUUGCUUAUCAUCAAGGGCAAUAAGCUUCGGAAAGUCUCUGUCCAGCUCCAUCUCAACUAAAACUUUUGCCUCGCCCAUACUAGUAGGAUCAAGUCGAGGUUUGUGCGUAAGAAUAGGUUCUCCAAGUCCAGAAGCAACAUGACUUAUUCCUAAUCUUGAGUAGCAACAAUCCGAAAUGUUCUUCAAAUUGGCCCAAACCGGAAGCGUGGAGAUUUCAGGGAUUUUGAAGGAGCCUUCUGGGGUCCAUGGCAGUACAAAAAGUAAGCAAUCAUCAAUGUGCCACACUCCACGCUGAAUAACCCAUUGACGGGUAGGUUGGUGUGGGAUAUGGAACAUGAAAGAUGAAUCACCAAGCUUCUUACAACUGAUCUUACAACUUCUUCCCCAUAUUCUAUUCACCACAGCAUGUACUAAACCACCUGGCGGUAGAGCACAUUUAUGGAACUUGCCAAUGAUAUACUCAUCCUUAUUCUCUGGACCUAGCUUAAGCACUUUCGAAGGAAUAGAUACCUCAGGUGUGCCAUCAAUGCGGUAAGUUGGUGUGGCUGCCCGAUAGAGAUUACGCGAUUGAGGGCUUAAUCUCGCAGCCCAGGGGAAACGGAGUCUCCCAUCCGCUUUUAGUUCCGGUGGUGGUAGCUUUUCAAUCGGGGGCUGGAGAGUACGAGAUGAAUACUUGUCCUUAGGUUGCUUGUUUAAGAUCUCGUCAUUUAAAGUCGGCCAGAGAGUGGCUAAUUGAUUCCCGAAAACUGCAGGAUCAUAGUCUCGUGGAGUACUAGGAUCAGGAGGAGUGGCUGGAGGUUUGAAAUAAAGGGGUUUGGCCCAUGAUCCCAUUGAUGGGAUAAAUUUUUCUUUAGCUUGAGCAAGGUUUUCAGAAGGAUCUGUUGGCGAUUUAUUAACCUCCAGCAUUGAUGUUUCCUGCAACUGUAUUGAUCCAGGGACAGGCAGCGAUAGGUUUUUGACCCCCAAGCGAGGAUGGUUUCUGCAUCGAAGCAGACUGAGGAAGCACAUCCAGGACAGAUGGUGAAACACUGUUUUUAGCAAGUGAAUUCAUCAAGCUAUUAACGUGACAGUGUGAGCCAAAGGUCACUGGCGAAGCUAGCUUCGAUGACGAAUCAUCACCUGCAUUGUCGGUGUUAACUGAAGCCAGAUACUUUGAAGGAGAGUCACAUACAGGUACUGUAACAGCUUCUGAAGUCAGAGGAGAAAGAGGAGCCACAGGUUCUGAAAGAGGAAACACGGGUUCAAGCAGGGAGGUUGUGUUCGUCCCUAUCACCGGAUCCGUCGGUGGCAACGAAAAUGACGAGGGCAGAGUCUGAUCAGUUUCAAUCUCCAAACCUUCGACUGACAGAGCCGAUGAAGACGAAGGAAGAGACAGAGAGUUGAAGCUUCUCGAUUUUUGAAGCGGCGAGAACGGAGGAAGAUCGAUCUCUGACGCCAUGAGAAGGGUCAAAGAGGAGGAGUAAGGUUUCUGGUGAGGCCUAUUGGCGACGACUCACUGGUCGGAGGACGCCGAACUUCUUUGUCGAUACUGGUUAGGUUUUC